rnacentral:rRNA from 1 species
UGGGGAAUUUUGCACAAUGGGGGAAACCCUGAUGCAGCGACGCCGCGUGAUUUAGAAGGCCUUCGGGUUGUAAAAAUCUUUUCUAUGGGAAGAAAAUGACAGUACCAUAGGAAUAAGGACCGGCUAAUUACGUGCCAGCAGCCGCGGUAAUACGUAAGGUCCGAGCGUUGUCCGGAAUCAUUGGGCGUAAAGGGUACGUAGGCGGGUAAGCAAGUUAGAAGUGAAAUCCUGUAGCUCAACUACAGUAAGCUUUUAAAACUGCUCAUCUUGAAAUAUGGAAGGGAAAGUGGAAUUCCUAGUGUAGCGGUGAAAUGCGCAGAUAUUAGGAGGAAUACCGGUGGCGAAGGCGACUUUCUGGCCAUAAUCUGACGCUGAGGUACGAAAGCGUGGGUAGCAAACAGG